rnacentral:lncRNA from 1 species
CUCUAACUUUGAAGCUACAGGGGCUCCUUUAGAUCCCUGUGGUGGGAACAUCAGCCACACUGAGAUGACAAGAACAUGGGAACCCAUGGUCCUACAGAGCUGCCAGGGGGAGGAGCACAGGCUGUGGAGAAAGCGGCUCCAGUGUGUGGGCAAUAAAGCUUUGACUGCUGCACUCCACAGGCCUGGGGUCGGGGAAAAGCUCAGCCUGCCGGAGUAGGACAGCGUGGAGAGUGGAGGCCCAAGCAGGGGGCUGAUUCUGGCUAGUGUGUCUCCAGGGAAGCAAUACCAGAGAAUCCUUCCCUAGUCUGAAAGGCCCUUUGAGGACCAGCAGGAAAAAGGUGCCGCUCUGAAACUAGGGCUUUUCCCUGGUCUCCCAUUUAUCCAGGAUCCCCAUCCUCUGCUUGUGGGUUUUGUAAGUCCCCUUCCACCCCAGAAAACACUCUCUCUCAGCUGCUAUGUUCCAUCCUCUUGCUCCUGGACUGAUUUCUUUCCCCCAUUGCCCAGGUAUCUCACUUCUGUCUUUUGAACAAUUUUGUGUUCCACAGUUUUCCAGGUAGUGGGGGGAAAAUAUUACCUUCCGAAGUCUCU